rnacentral:rRNA from 1 species
UACGUAGGGUGCGAGCGUUGUCCGGAUUUAUUGGGCGUAAAGGGCUCGUAGGCGGCGUGUCGCGUCGGGGAGUGAAAGCCCGCUGCUUAACGGCGGGUUGGCUUCCGGUACGGGCAUGCUGGAGUGUGGCAGGGGAGACUGGAAUUCCUGGUGUAGCGGUGGAAUGCGCAGAUAUCAGGAGGAACACCGGUGGCGAAGGCGGGUCUCUGGGCCAUUACUGACGCUGAGGAGCGAAAGCGUGGGGAGCGAACAGG